AGGUAUCUGCCUUUUGGUUUGGAAUAACACGAGGAAACUUGUGCUAAUACCGGAUAAGCCUUCACAGGGAAAGUUUUAACGCCAAAAGAUGAGCCUGCACUUGAUUAGCUAGUUGGUAAGGUAAUGGCUUACCAAGGCUACGAUCAAUAGCUGUUCUUAGAGGAAGAUCAGCCACAUUGGGACUGAGACACGGCCCAAACUCCUACGGGAGGCAGCAGUGGGGAAUCUUGCACAAUGGGGGAAACCCUGAUGCAGCGAUGCCGCGUGAGUGAAGAAGGCCUUUGGGUUGUAAAGCUCUUUCGUCGGGGAAGAAAAUGACUGUACCCGAAUAAGAAGGUCCGGCUAACUUCGUGCCAGCAGCCGCGGUAAUACGAAGGGACCUAGCGUAGUUCGGAAUUACUGGGCUUAAAGAGCACGUAGGUGGUUAAAAAAGUUGGUGGUGAAAUCCCAAGGCUUAACCUUGGAACUGCCACCAAAACUUUUUAGCUAGAGUAUGAUUGAGGUAAGCGGAAUUUCUAGUGUAGAGGUGAAAUUCGUAGAUAUUAGAAAGAACACCAAUUGCGAAGGCAGCUUUCUGGAUCAUUACUGACACUGAGGUGCGAAAGCAUGG
rnacentral:rRNA from 1 species